GUAAUUAGAGCAGCUGAGGCGCUGAUAUAAAGUCAGCUGCAGCCACAGAGCAGUUACAGCCCAAAGCUUUUCUCUUUCAGUGCUCAGCCUGGUCCACUUCUGCUGCCAUACCAGACGUCAACAUGGUUCUUCAGGGUGGUUUCAAGAGCUCCUGGAUUUGCUUGCUGCUCUUCAGCAUUGCAGCUUGUGCUCCUGCAAAAAAA